rfam:Picea glauca, whole genome shotgun sequence.
UAUUAAAACUUUUCAAAAAUAGUAUAGACAAGGGGAAUCUGACUAUUUAAUUUAAACAAAGCAUUGUGGUGGUCCCUACGGAUGCUGACACAAUGGGAUUUAUACCCAGUGCUCUGCAUGUGAAAGUGAAGAAAUGCAACCAAGCGCGGGUAAACGAAGGGAUUAACCAUGACCCUCUUAAGGUAGUCAUAUGCCUAGUCAUCUAAUUAGUGACAUGCGUGAAUAGAUUAAAAAUAUUCCCACUGUCCCUAGCUACUAUCUAUAUAAACCACAACCAAUAGAUAUUGU